rnacentral:rRNA from 1 species
CUGGAGCUGGGCGGCAGCUAACACAUGCAGUCGAACGGUAACAGGAUGUGCUUGCACAUCGCUGACGAGUGGCGGACGGGUGAGUAAUGCUUGGGAACUUGCCUUUGCGAGGGGGAUAACAGUUGGAAACGACUGCUAAUACCGCAUAAUGUUUUCGAACCAAACGGGGCUUCGGCUCCGGCGCAAAGAGAGGCCCAAGUGAGAUUAGCUAGUUGGUAAGGUAACGGCUUACCAAGGCGACGAUCUCUAGCUGUUCUGAGAGGAAGAUCAGCCACACUGGGACUGAGACACGGCCCAGACUCCUACGGGAGGCAGCAGUGGGGAAUAUUGCACAAUGGGGGAAACCCUGAUGCAGCCAUGCCGCGUGUGUGAAGAAGGCCUUCGGGUCGUAAAGCACUUUCAGUUGUGAGGAAAAGUUAGUAGUUAAUACCUGCUAGCCGUGACGUUAACAACAGAAGAAGCACCGGCUAACUCCGUGCCAGCAGCCGCGGUAAUACGGAGGGUGCGAGCGUUAAUCGGAAUUACUGGGCGUAAAGCGCACGCAGGCGGUUUGUUAAGCUAGAUGUGAAAGCCCCGGGCUCAACCUGGGAUGGUCAUUUAGAACUGGCAGACUAGAGUCUUGGAGAGGGGAGUGGAAUUCCAGGUGUAGCGGUGAAAUGCGUAGAUAUCUGGAGGAACAUCAGUGGCGAAGGCGACUCCCUGGCCAAAGACUGACGCUCAUGUGCGAAAGUGUGGGUAGCGAACAGGAUUAGAUACCCUGGUAGUCCACACCGUAAACGCUGUCUACUAGCUGUGUGUGCCUUUAAAGCGUGCGUAGCGAAGCUAACGCGCUAAGUAGACCGCCUGGGGAGUACGGCCGCAAGGUUAAAACUCAAAUGAAUUGACGGAAGGGCGAAUUCUGCAG